rnacentral:rRNA from 1 species
GACGAACGCUGGCGGCGUGCCUAAUACAUGCAAGUCGAGCGCAGGAAACUGACGGAACUCUUCGGAGGGAAGGCAGUGGAAUGAGCGGCGGACGGGUGAGUAACACGUAAGGAACCUGCCUCAAGGAUUGGGAUAACUCCGAGAAAUCGGAGCUAAUACCGGAUAGUUCAACGGACCGCAUGGUCCGCUGAUGAAAGGCGCUUCGGCGUCACCUCGAGAUGGCCUUGCGGUGCAUUAGCUAGCUGGUGGGGUAACGGCCCACCAAGGCGACGAUGCAUAGCCGACCUGAGAGGGUGAUCGGCCACACUGGGACUGAGACACGGCCCAGACUCCUACGGGAGGCAGCAGUAGGGAAUCUUCCACAAUGGACGAAAGUCUGUUGGAGCAACGCCGCGUGAGUGAUGAAGGUUCUCGGAUCGUAAAACUCUGUUGUAAGGGAAGAACACGUACGAGAGGAAAUGCUCGUACCUUGACGGUACCUUACGAGAAAGCCACGGCUAACUACGUGCCAGCAGCCGCGGUAAGAC